ACGGGACAUGCUGUUGAAGGACAGUGAUCAACAACAGGUUGAUGUGAUGCUGCUUGGAAUGAAGUGGAGUUACUGUUACCACCCCAAAGCUGGAACCAUUGUCAACUACUGUGAGCUGCUGUAAUAGAAAAUCAAUCAACACCUUUUGACCAAUCAGAAUUGAGAAUUCAACAGCACUGUAGUCGAAUUACUGUGACACUGAGAGCCGAUCAGUAAUCACUAGAGUCACAUCAUGUCCAUAGACUGGAUAAAAUCAAGUUCAGUGAUUUUUCAGCAGCAUUAACUGAACACGAUCAGUUGAUGGCAGAAUGGAAGGAGGCGGUUCUUCUGGGGAAUGAACGCACUCAUGGCUAUAGCUAGAACCCAUGUUUCAGUUUUCUGAAAGGAAUAAAGAUUUGUUUCGUUUUAAAUGUUUGCUUUGUUUGCCUAAAACGGAGCACAUCAC